UACGUAGGGGGCAAGCGUUAUCCGGAUUUACUGGGUGUAAAGGGAGCGUAGACGGCAAGGUAAGUCUGAUGUGAAAACCCAGGGCUUAACCCUGGGACUGCAUUGGAAACUGUCUGGCUCGAGUGCCGGAGAGGUAAGCGGAAUUCCUAGUGUAGCGGUGAAAUGCGUAGAUAUUAGGAAGAACACCAGUGGCGAAGGCGGCUUACUGGACGGUAACUGACGUUGAGGCUCGAAAGCGUGGGGAGCAAACAGG
rnacentral:rRNA from 1 species